rnacentral:rRNA from 1 species
UACGAGGGGGGCGAGCGUUGUUCGGAAUUAUUGGGCGUAAAGGGUGCGUAGGCGGUUCCGCAAGUCCUGUGUGAAAUCUUCGGGCUCAACUCGAAGUCUGCACGGGAAACUGCGGGGCUUGAGUGUGGGAGAGGUGAGUGGAAUUCCCGGUGUAGCGGUGAAAUGCGUAGAUAUUGGGAAGAACACCGGUGGCGAAGGCGGCUCACUGGCUCAUUACUGACGCUCAGGCGCGACAGCGUGGGGAUCAAACAGG